GCUUAACCGAAGAAGUGCAUCGGAAACUGGGUGACUUGAGUGCAGAAGAGGACAGUGGAACUCCAUGUGUAGCGGUGGAAUGCGUAGAUAUAUGGGAGAACACCAGUGGCGAAGGCGGCUGUCUGGUCUGCAACUGACGCUGAGGCUCGAAAGCAUGGGUAGCGAACAGGAUUAGAUACCCUGGUAGUCCAUGCCGUAAACGAUGAGUGCUAGGUGUUGGAGGGUUUCCGCCCUUCAGUGCCGGAGCUAACGCAUUAAGCACUCCGCCUGGGGAGUACGACCGCAAGGUUGAAACUCAAAGGAAUUGACGGGGGCCCGCACAAGCGGUGGAGCAUGUGGUUUAAUUCGAAGCUACGCGAAGAACCUUACCAGGUCUUGACAUCUUGCGCUAACCUAAGAGAUUAGGCGUUCCCUUCGGGGACGCAAUGACAGGUGGUGCAUGGUCGUCGUCAGCUCGUGUCGUGAGAUGUUGGGUUAAGUCCCGCAACGAGCGCAACCCUUGUUACUAGUUGCCAGCAUACAGUUGGGCACUCUAGUGAGACUGCCGGUGACAAACCGGAGGAAGGUGGGGAUGACGUCAGAUCAUCAUGCCCCUUAUGACCUGGGCUACACACGUGCUACAAUGGUCGGUACAACG
rnacentral:rRNA from 1 species